rnacentral:lncRNA from 1 species
AUGAACGCGGGCAGAAGGUACCACAUGGACCCCCCCAGUCCCCCAGGCAAGGCCCAGGCCCAGGGGGCGCCGGGGAGACGGGCCACCGCGGUGCAGACCUCGGCCCAGGGCACAGUCCUCGGGGGUUUGCAGGGAAAUCACGACGGAGCCCAGCCCAGCCCAGCCCGGCAGCAGGCCCCAGGACGAGCAGCCCCAGGGGGCCCGGAUCCCGCCCCGGCUGCGCCCCUGCGGCAACUGAGCAGCACCCAGCGGGCGGGGGCGGCGGGGGCCGGGGCGGGCGGGGGCGCAGGAAGCCGCAGCGCGGAGCUGCCGUUAGUGGGGACGCCGGGGAAGGGCCUCCCGCCGCGGGCUCGGGCCGCCCAGCCCCGCAGGCCCCCGCCCCCGCCCGCGAGCGUCGGGAGCAGCGUCGGGAGCAGCGUCGGGAGCAGCGUCGGGGGCGGGGGUGGGGGCAGGGGCGGGGGUGCAGGCAGGACGCCCGCCGAGCGGGGGUGCGGGGCUGCGGGGGCGCGGCGAGGGCGCGGGGUGCCCCGGGGCGCGGGGACUGCCGCUCCGGCCCGCCCCCUGGCGCGCGCCCGCCUUCCCGCCCGCGCGCGCCGCCGCCUCGCCCCGCGGCCUCCGCCCGCCCGAGCGCGCGCCCGCGGCCUCCUACCUUCGCGCGCCGCCGCCGCCGCCGCCAGGGCCGCCGCAAGGGCCGGGCGGGGCGGGGCGUGCUCGGGGGCGGGGCGUGCUCGGGGGCGGGGCCACGAGGGGGCGGAGCAUCCCCUGGGCGUGGCUACCGGGGCGGAGCGUGCUCGGGGGCGUGGCUACCCGGAGGCGUGGCUACCGGGGCGGGGCGUGUCCUGGGGCGGGCCUGCCCGGGAGGCCGCUUCGGGGGCGGGGCCUGCGUUCCCGCGUAGCCCCGGGCGAAGGGCGCGGGACCCCGGGGCCGCCCCCGGCUGUCGCGCGCUCGCGAGGGGCGGGUCCCCGGGGAGGCUUUUCCAACACGCCGCCUUUUGUCUCUCCGGACGGCCCAGCAAACGGGGGCCAUCCGCUCCUCGUGCAUAA